UGCGUAGGUGGUUGGUUAAGUUUGAGGUGAAAGCUCCGAGCUCAACUCGGAAAAUGCCUUGAAGACUAUCUGACUAGAGGAUUGGAGGGGAGAUUGGAAUUCUCGGUGUAGCAGUGAAAUGCGUAGAUAUCGAGAGGAGCACCAGUGGCGAAGGCGAAUCUCUGGACAAUUCCUGACACUGAGGCACGAAAGCCAAGGGAGCAAACG
rnacentral:rRNA from 1 species